GAUGAACGCUAGCGGCAGGCUUAACACAUGCAAGUCGAGGGGUAUUAGGAGCUUGCUCCUAAGAGACCGGCGCACGGGUGCGUAACGCGUAUGCAACCUACCUUGAACAGGGGGAUAGCCCAGAGAAAUUUGGAUUAAUACCCCAUGGUAUAUUAGAAUGGCAUCAUUUUAUUAUUAAAGUCACAACGGUUCAAGAUGAGCAUGCGUCCCAUUAGCUAGAUGGUAAGGUAACGGCUUACCAUGGCUACGAUGGGUAGGGGUCCUGAGAGGGAGAUCCACCACACUGGUACUGAGACACGGACCAGACUCCUACGGGAGGCAGCAGUGAGGAAUAUUGGUCAAUGGGCGCAAGCCUGAACCAGCCAUGCCGCGUGCAGGAUGAAGCAUCUAUGGUGUGUAAACUGCUUUUAUACGGGAAGAAACCCUGCCACGUGUGGCAGAUUGACGGUACCGUAGGAAUAAGGAUCGGCUAACUCCGUGCCAGCAGCCGCCGUAA
rnacentral:rRNA from 1 species